rfam:Pteropus alecto contig23047, whole genome shotgun sequence.
GGUUCCAUAGUAUAGUGGUUAGCACGUCUACUUUACACGCAGAAGGUCCUGGGUUCAUGGCCCAGUGGAGCCA